GAGUUUGAUCUUGGCUCAGAUUGAACGCUGGCGGCAUGCCUUACACAUGCAAGUCGAACGGCAGCACGGGAGCUUGCUCCUGGUGGCGAGUGGCGAACGGGUGAGUAAUGCAUCGGAACGUAUCCUGGAGUGGGGGAUAACGUAGCGAAAGUUACGCUAAUACCGCAUAUUCUGUGAGCAGGAAAGCGGGGGACCUUCGGGCCUCGCGCUCUUGGAGCGGCCGAUGUCGGAUUAGCUAGUUGGUGAGGUAAAGGCUCACCAAGGCGACGAUCCGUAGCAGGUCUGAGAGGAUGAUCUGCCACACUGGAACUGAGACACGGUCCAGACUCCUACGGGAGGCAGCAGUGGGAAUUUUGGACAAUGGGGCAACCCUGAUCCAGCCAUGCCGCGUG
rnacentral:rRNA from 1 species